rnacentral:rRNA from 1 species
GGAGAAAGCAGGGGAUCGCAAGACCUUGCGCUUUUGGAGCGGCCGAUGCCUGAUUAGCUUGUUGGUGAGGUAAAAGCUUACCAAGGCUUCGAUCAGUAGCUGGUCUGAGAGGACGACCAGCCACACUGGGACUGAGACACGGCCCAGACUCCUACGGGAGGCAGCAGUGGGGAAUUUUGGACAAUGGGGGCAACCCUGAUCCAGCCAUGCCGCGUGAGUGAAGAAGGCCUUCGGGUUGUAAAGCUCUUUCAGCCGGAACGAAACGGUUACGGUUAAUACCCGUGACUACUGACGGUACCGGAAGAAGAAGCACCGGCUAACUACGUGCCAGCAGCCGCGGUAAUACGUAGGGUGCGAGCGUUAAUCGGAAUUACUGGGCGUAAAGCGUGCGCAGGUGGUUUUGUAAGUCAGAUGUGAAAUCCCCGGGCUUAACCUGGGAACUGCGUUUGAAACUACAAGGCUAGAGUGUGGCAGAGGGGGGUGGAAUUCCGCGUGUAGCAGUGAAAUGCGUAGAGAUGUGGAGGAACACCGAUGGCGAAGGCAGCCCCCUGGGUCAACACUGACGCUCAGGCACGAAAGCAUGGGGAGCAAACAGGAUUAGAUACCCUGGUAGUCCAUGCCCUAAACGAUGUCAACUAGUUGUCGGGCCUUUACGGGCUUGGUAACGUAGCUAACGCGUGAAGUUGACCGCCUGGGGAGUACGAUCGCAAGAUUAAAACUCAAAGGAAUUGACGGGGACCCGCACAAGCGGUGGAUUAUGUGGAUUAAUUCGAUGCAACGCGAAAAACCUUACCUACCCUUGACAUGUAUCGAAGCUCGCAGAGAAGUGAGUGUGCCCGAAAGGGAACGAUAACACAGGUGCUGCAUGGCUGUCGUCAGCUCGUGUCGUGAGAUGUUGGGUUAAGUCCCGCAACGAGCGCAACCCUUGUCAUUAAUUGCCAUCAUUUAGUUGGGCACUUUAAUGAGACUGCCGGUGACAAACCGGAGGAAGGUGGGGAUGACGUCAAGUCCUCAUGGCCCUUAUGGGUAGGGCUUCACACGUAAUACAAUGGCG